ensembl:snoRNA SNORA72 Small nucleolar RNA SNORA72
CAGCAGCAGCAGGAGCUGGGAACUUGUUAGAAAUGCAGUUUCCAGCCUACACACUGGCGAUGUUAAGACCAUGCCAGUGUCGCCAGGCCCUGGUCCUUCCCCAGGUCUGGUUUUAUAAAUGCCGGGGAUAAAC